UACGUAGGGGGCAAGCGUUGUCCGGAAUCAUUGGGCGUAAAGAGCGCGUAGGCGGCCCGACAAGUCCGCUGUGAAAGUCAGGGGCUCAACCCUUGAAUGCCGGUGGAUACUGUCGGGCUAGAGUCCGGAAGAGGCGAGUGGAAUUCCUGGUGUAGCGGUGAAAUGCGCAGAUAUCAGGAGGAACACCAAUGGCGAAGGCAGCUCGCUGGGACGGUACUGACGCUGAGGCGCGAAAGCGUGGGGAGCAAACGGG
rnacentral:rRNA from 1 species